rnacentral:lncRNA from 1 species
GGAAAUUGAUGGAUUUUCAGUGAAAUGGUAGUUGCGGUAGAGAAGGAAAUGAGGUGAUCCUAGCUUCAGGCAACCUCCAUUGUUGGAAGAAAGCUAAGAGGUGGGAAAGAGUUGAUGGAAGAGAUUACUUUGGCAAGCAUUUUGCUAUGCAUAGACAAAUUUCAGAAUGCAGAAAUUUCUCAUAUAUUCCAAAGUGUUUUACAAGUGAUGCCUUCAUGAAUUUAUAGAUGCAUUCAUGAAGCUAAGGCAUGGCAAUGG